rnacentral:rRNA from 1 species
UACGAAGGGGGCUAGCGUUGUUCGGAAUUACUGGGCGUAAAGCGCACGUAGGCGGAUCGAUCAGUCAGGGGUGAAAUCCCAGAGCUCAACUCUGGAACUGCCUUUGAUACUGUCGAUCUAGAGUAUGGAAGAGGUGAGUGGAAUUCCGAGUGUAGAGGUGAAAUUCGUAGAUAUCGGGAGGAACACCAGUGGCGAAGGCGACUACCUGGCCUGUUCUUGACGCUGAGGCGCGAAAGCUAGGGAGCAACGGG